rnacentral:rRNA from 1 species
AUACGGAGGGUGCAAGCGUUGUUCGGAAUCACUGGGCGUAAAGGGCGCGCAGGCGGUUUGGUAAGUCAGAUGUGAAAGCCCAUGGCUCAACCAUGGAAGUGCAUUUGAAACUGUCAGACUUGAGUACUAGAGGGGAAAGUGGAAUUCCCGGUGUAGAGGUGAAAUUCGUAGAUAUCGGGAGGAAUACCGGUGGCGAAGGCGACUUUCUGGCUAGAUACUGACGCUGAGGAUCGAAAGCGUGGGUAGCAAACAGGAUUAGAAACCCGAGUAGUCC